rnacentral:lncRNA from 1 species
UUUAAGUUAAUAUUUCAAAUUGUAAGAGAGAGCUAUAACUAUUAUGAGACAUACUUGGGAAGAACUUUCCAAUUUUCCAUGGAAGACACAAUUUGAUCUAUAUUCAUAUGUUUGAGCUGACAAUUCUGGAAUCUAUCACAGACUACGCUGCUACUUUGCUGAUUUUUUUUUUUUCAUUUUGUAUCAGUCGAAUUGUUCUCAAACUAAAACCGAUAAAGAACAGGCAAUCAUCGGCACGAUAUCGACAGGACUUUCAAGAGACUUUGGUUGUUCGACGCCAAUUAAAUUUCAUCAAAAGAAGAACUCAGAGUUUCCUUUCAUCUUGGAAAUA